rnacentral:rRNA from 1 species
UACGGAGGGUGCAAGCGUUGCUCGGAAUCAUUGGGCGUAAAGCGUACCCAGGCUGUUCGUUAAGUCGGGUGUGAAAGCCCGGGGCUCAACCCCGGAAAUGCGCCCGAAACUGGCGAGCUUGAGUGCGGGAGAGGGAAGCGGAAUUCCUGGUGUAGAGGUGAAAUUCGUAGAUAUCAGGAGGAACACCGGUGGCGAAAGCGGCUUCCUGGCCCGACACUGACGCUCAUGUACGAAAGCGUGGGGAGCAAACAGG